rnacentral:rRNA from 1 species
GACGAACGCUGGCGGCGUGCUUAACACAUGCAAGUCGAACGGAAAGGCCCUGCUUUUGUGGGGUGCUCGAGUGGCGAACGGGUGAGUAACACGUGAGUAACCUGCCCUUGACUUUGGUAUAACUUCAGGAAACUGGGGCUACUACCGGAUAGGAGCUCCUGCUGCAUGGUGGGGGUUGGAAAGUUUCGGCGGUUGGGGAUGGACUCGCGGCUUAUCAGCUUGUUGGUGGGGUAGUGGCUUACCAAGGCUUUGACGGGUAGCCGGCCUGAGAGGGUGACCGGCCACAUUGGGACUGAGAUACGGCCCAGACUCCUACGGGAGGCAGCAGUGGGGAAUAUUGCACAAUGGGCGGAAGCCUGAUGCAGCAACGCCGCGUGCGGGAUGACGGCCUUCGGGUUGUAAACCGCUUUCGCCUGUGACGAAGCGUGAGUGACGGUAAUGGGUAAAGAAGCACCGGCUAACUACGUG